UGGGGAAUUUUGGACAAUGGGGGCAAUCCCUGAUCCAGCCAUGCCGCGUGAGUGAAGAAGGCCUUCGGGUUGUAAAGCUCUUUCAGCCGGAAAGAAAUCGUGCAGGCUAAUAUCCUGCAUGGAUGACGGUACCGGAAGAAGAAGCACCGGCUAACUACGUG
rnacentral:rRNA from 1 species